UUGGGGUUGGGACUCUCAGUUGAAGGCAGGUGUUGUCUAUCUGCCUUUGAUUGAGAGUUCCAUAUAUUAGGGUGUGUUUGUAUGUGUGAUUUGUGGGUGAUUGUUCUGUGUUUCGCCUUGUGCCUUACCAGACUGUUUUUGUUGAUCGUUCGUGUUUUUGUUAUUUUGUACGUUCAUUUUGAAGAUAAUUAAAAAUCAAGAUGAGCAUUCACGUACCUGCUGCGUUUUGGUCCUCAUUCACCGACAACAACCGUGACAAUUAGACCAAUGGGAGAGAUGGACUCGUAAGCCUCCAAACCAAUCGCACAAAGAAGGAACAAAAACCAAGAUCUGGAGUGAGACUCCAACUGGCUCAUCACCUUUUAUUAUUUAAAAUAGGGAUUUCCAGAGGAGUCUUGUAAGGAAGGUGGUGGUCGAGCUUUUCCUGGAGAGCAAAAGAAACAAAGCUCCUUUAUCUCACAGAGAGGCUGAGGUGGACAUCACAGGACAUCGCUCCUCUCUGAGAGGCUGAGGUGGACAUCACAGGACAUCGCUCCUCUCUGAGAGGCUGAGGUGGACAUCACAGGACAUCGCUCUUCUCAGAGAGGCUGAGGUGGACAUCACAGGACAUCGCUCCUCUCAGAGAGGCUGAGGCGGACAUCACAGGACAUCGCUCUUCUCUGAGAGGCUGAGGUGGACAUCACAGGACAUCGCUCUUCUCUGAGAGGCUGAGGUGGACAUCACAGGACAUCGCUCUUCUCUGAGAGGCUGAGGUGGACAUCACAGGACAUCGCUCCUCUCUGAGAGGCUGAGGUGGACCUCACAGGACAUCGCUCCUCUCAGAGAGGCUGAGGUGGACAUCACAGGACAUCGCUCUUCUCUGAGAGGCUGAGGUGGACAUCACAGGACAUCGCUCUUCUCUGAGAGGCUGAGGUGGACAUCACAGGACAUCGCUCCUCUCAGAGAGGCUGAGGUGGACAUCACAGGACAUCGCUCUUCUCUGAGAGGCUGAGGUGGACAUCACAGGACAUCGCUCCUCUCAGAGAGGCUGAGGUGGACAUCACAGGACAUCGCUCUUCUCUGAGAGGCUGAGGUGGACAUCACAGGACAUCGCUCCUCUCAGAGAGGCUGAGGUGGACAUCACAGGACAGUGUUGCUCCUGGAGAAGGGGAUGAGAGGAGAGAGGAAGAGAUGAAAGAAGACAAGACAGGUGCUCUUCAGCUGCUGUGGCCACGCCUCCUGCCCUGUCAGGGAGAGAACCAACCAAUCAAGGUCCAGGCAGCUUUGUGACCUGACCUUGUUGAACACUCUGACAGGUGUGUUCUAGAACAGAACACUGAAGUAGCCUAUCAUGAUGCGGUGGUGUCUGUGUGGUGAAGCUGAACUUGGAUCUCUCUACAGGCUUUUCAUCUAUCUGCAAAAUGUAUUUUGUAACGGCCACAAACAAUGAUAUGUUUUUGAAUGUACCGACUGAUAUCACGAUGAUGCGCUUGAAUGUGUCGUUUUUGUACGUCGCUCGAUGACUCGUCAAAUCUAAAUGGCCGCCUCAUUCUUAACAAACUUCAGGGCAAGCUAUUAGCACGAAUAACCAAACUCAGCUACGGUUUGUACGAUAAAGACAUUACAUUGAGUUGGCUUUCCCAUCAUGUUAGACACAGCUCACACACACUCUUUCAGUGUUUUAGCUGUUUUCAUUGUUUGCAAGUAAGUUGAUUGUCAUCGUCUCUUUAUCAUUGAGCUACACUGCCAGAGUAGAGGGUGAUCUGAACUUUUUAAAUCCGUCAUGGUGGUUUGUUGCUCUUGUUUUUAACUUUCUUCUACUUUUUCUUCUUAUGUACAUUAUCCUGAUUGAAUACGUUGGUUUGAUCUGUUCCUAUUUCAGUAGGGGUUGGGACCCCGAUAUAACAUCAUAUAAUGACAAAUGUUCGUAUGACCAUGAUAAUGAAAGUUAAACAUGGUGAUUAACAACCUGCAUGUCGAGAGACACACACACACACACACACACACACACACACACACACACACACACACACACACACACACACACACACACACACACACACACACACACACACACACACACAGGCUUACAUCAUGCAAGUAUAAUGUGAUCUGUGUGUGGGUGAUGGUAAGGUCAAGGGACAUUUAUAGCUUUAUAAAGACUUGUGACAGAGAACAUGUUGAAGUCAUAUACAAGCACAGAUGCCCAUGGUAUGCUAUUACACUGACUGUUUUGAUGGGGGAAAUGUUGGUUUUCAAGUGAGGGGAAAAAAUAUAUUUUAGAGACGUAUCUACAGUACUAGGAAGUUUUAAGACGAGGAGUAAUGAUAAUAUGAAGGAAGAGUCAUAGAAACAAAUACAUAUUUGUCAUGUUUUUCACUUCAUACUCUGCCUUAGAAGGCAUUAGUCUGCCUUCUGAUACCACCAUAUUCUACUCUCAGGGUGCGUUCCAGGUCGCCUUUACUGCAGUCGCGCUGCGGCUGAGCAUUUUAGCCGAUUACUAUAUUAUAUGUAUAUCAUAUUAAUGUGGUUCCAGAGAGGUAAAUACUUUUCCAGAGGUUGUGAGGGACUAUCAUCUGAGCAGUGUGUCGACUGCAAUAACGAUGACAUGAAACACGCCCAAUGUCUUUGUUUCAGGGCUGUGACCACACCCGGCCACCAUCACAUCCCGAGACUGUGGAAUGUAGCUAACAGAAUGUAAGGGACUGAAAUAGAACAACUUCCUGCAUUCUCUUCCAUCAUCCCAGGGCCAGUGAGAGACUGAGGGCAGAUAUAUUACAUGUUUUCCGUUAAAAACAUACUUUAAAAAAAGGGAAGUGCACAGUGGCAUAACGUGUAUUUAUGUUUUCCAUUUUAGUAAUUUAUCAGACGCUCUUAUCCAGAGCGAUUUACAGUUAGUGCAUUCAUCUUAAUAAACUGUAGCUAGGUGGGACGGGUUCUGGUGUAGUUUUUGAGCAUAGACUGAAGCUAGGGAGGGGAAGUUUCUCUUGCUGUUUCGUAGGUAUGCACCAUGGUCUUGUAGUGGAUGCGAGCAUUACGGGAAUACUGAACAUGAGCUGGGGUGGCUUGCAAGAAGUUCUUAUAACUUUUUGCGUACUGACAGUACACCUUUCUCUCAUUCUGACUCCCUCUCUGUCUGCAAAUUUACAUUUAAAAAGCCAAACCUAACAAUAUUUCCAGAAAUAUUGCCCCUGUCUGUCUGUGUGGUGCGCGCGUUUGUCCAUCACUCCAGCCAGUUGACGUGACAAACCAUCUUGUGAGUUGACAGAAAUACUUUCCCCAAAACCUUUUCAAUUAAAUAUUUAUUGGAGGUAGGCUUACCUGGCAGAAGUAUAUAAUGAGUAUCUAUUAUUUGUUAUUUGAAAACUUGAAAUGCGCAGAAAUAAAAUGAAAUGCCAUGAAAUGCGCAGCAGUAUGGAACCAUUGCUGGACUGGCACAUUCCUCACUCAGAUGCGCAAUUAAAGGGCCAGAUGCGCAAUUACGGGAAAAUUGCACAAAGAUAUCUACAUUUGUUAGUUUUCUUCCAGACCUAAAAAAAAAAAUGUCCUCAGAGGCGAUUUAAGAAUCGACUUGAACUCAGAACAUCCCAUUUCGUUGUUUCUCUAUGAAUCAUUUUAAUUUUGAGUGAAAACAAUUCUAAAACCAGGAAAAACAACACUGACAACAAAUCUCUGAUUUUAGAGUUGUUUAUUAACCAUUAUUUUAUCAGGUAUAUUGACAGAAAAUAUAGUGAACUACUUUCUCUUGUGUAUCAAGGACCUGGAGAAGAAUGGGCCUAUUUUAUAAUGUACAAAGAAAUGAGUAGCUCUAAUGGCAGAAAAGGUUGGAGACGCCUGAUUUGCACUGAAUGUACCAAUGUUUUGGGGCUUUAAUUGGGGCUUUUGACGCUAUUCAUCCAAGUCUUGGUCUCUCAACCUCCAUGGUCUUCACAUUCACCACCAUCACUGAGUAACCGAUAGCCCAUCACACCAACCCACUAGUUCUUUACUCACAGAAACACUUUAACUACAACACAACAUGUGUAUAUAUAUAUAUAUAUAUAUAUAUAUAUAUAUAUAAAAAUUAUCACUAAUUGUGACCAAUUUGAAAGUUGCAUCCAUGUUUCAGUUGUUCUCACCUUCUUGUAAUGGAAUGUUCUGUCUGUUCCUCUCUGGCUGGCUGUCUGCCUGUCUGGUCCUGUGACCGGCAGGACUCUAGGAUUAGAUACUGUCUGCUGGGGGGUUCAAGGCUGUGUCUUUGUCAGAGCUUCACUCUAUGCAAAGCUUUUUUCUCCGUGUCACUCCUUUAUGAUUGUAUGAAAAAAAAAAGAUAAAAAUAAUUGA